GAUGGACGCUGGCGGCGUGCCUAAUACAUGCAAGUCGAGCGAACAGAUAAGGAGCUUGCUCCUUUGACGUUAGCGGCGGACGGGUGAGUAACACGUGGGUAACCUACCUAUAAGACUGGAAUAACUCCGGGAAACCGGGGCUAAUGCCGGAUAACAUUUAGAACCGCAUGGUUCUAAAGUGAAAGAUGGUUUUGCUAUCACUUAUAGAUGGACCCGCGCCGUAUUAGCUAGUUGGUAAGGUAACGGCCUACCAAGGCAACGAUACGUAGCCGACCUGAGAGGGUGAUCGGCCACACUGGAACUGAGACACGGUCCAGACUCCUACGGGAGGCAGCAGUAGGGAAUCUUCCGCAAUGGGCGAAAGCCUGACGGAGCAACGCCGCGUGAGUGAUGAAGGUCUUCGGAUCGUAAAACUCUGUUAUUAGGGAAGAACAAAUGUGUAAGUAACUGUGCACGUCUUGACGGUACCUAAUCAGAAAGCCACGGCUAACUACGUG
rnacentral:rRNA from 1 species